rnacentral:rRNA from 1 species
UCCUUCUUUUUCCCUCGUUAAUCGGAAUUACUGGGCGUAAAGCGUGCGCAGGCGGUCUUGCAAGACAGAUGUGAAAUCCCCGGGCUCAACCUGGGAACUGCAUUUGUGACUGCAAGGCUGGAGUGCGGCAGAGGGGGAUGGAAUUCCGCGUGUAGCAGUGAAAUGCGUAGAUAUGCGGAGGAACACCGAUGGCGAAGGCAAUCCCCUGGGCCUGCACUGACGCUCAUGCACGAAAGCGUGGGGAGCAAACAGG